rnacentral:tRNA from 1 species
AGCUACUGCUUAUAGUGGUUAAGCACUAGGCUGCAAACCGAAAGGUCAGUGGUUCAAACCCACCAGUGGCUA